CUGAAAAGGAAGUCAUUCCGGUCCACAGCAGGGCUAACAGUUCACACAGUAUUUGUGUGCCCACCCUCCUUUUCUGCUGCACUGGACAACCUGGAAAGAGAAGCAAACCUCCAUUCAUUUUUUAAAAGAAUCCUGGUCUAACUAAUACAAAGGUACAAAAUGAAUCCAUGCUUGGUGGGGACAUAUAACUGUAAUCUAAGAGAUAGUGAAACAGCCGGGCGUGGUGGUGCACGCCUUUAAUCCCAGCACUUGGAAGGCAGAGAAAGUUCUUAAAAAGUGAGAGGGUUGGAAAGAAGGCUUAAAGAGAAAGGCAUUUGCCCCCGGUCUGGCAUCUGGCAGGUAACCUGGAUUCCAUCUCGCUGGCCCACAAGCAGCUCCUCCAAGUUGUCCUGGGAUCUUCAAUCACACAACUGUGAAAUUUACCAAUACAUACACACACACAUUCAUUUAUUCUCUCUCUCUCUCUCUCAAAAUGUAAUUUAUUUUGCAUUUUAUGUAUGCUGGUGUCUUGCCUGCAUGUGUAAGGGAGUCAGAUCCCUGGAACAGGAGUUACAGACAGUUGCGAGCUGUCUUGUAGGUGCUUGGAGCUUAACCCCAGUCCACUGGAAGAGUGGCCAGUGCUCUUAACCACUAAACCAUUUCUCCAGGCCCUGCAAAUGUAAUUUUAAAGAAAAAAAAAAAAAAAGGUGUUUAAAG
rnacentral:lncRNA from 1 species